AUGGAGAGAGCUCACCUCCUCCCUUCCAGAUCCAUCGCCGCCGCCACCUCUCUCCGGCGGAGCUCGCCGUCGUUCAUGGCCUCCCCCACGCCCUCUUCCUCUCGCCCCUUCCCUUCCCUCACCACCCAACCAAACCAACCAGUCCACCACACACCCUCACCUCGUUACCGACGCGCCGCCGCCAUCCCCCACGAAUGGUGUCGUCCCCAUGAUCUGGAUCCCCACGAACUAGCCGCUGGCGACCGCAUCCACUCCGCCGCCGGCUCCACCUCCACUCCCCUCCACUCCCCUUCCUGGCUAGAGAUCCCCUCCUCUCCAAUCCCACCCGCGCUCCACAGGCGAACCCUACACGCGCGCGCGCCAGGGGCCGCCCCGAUCUGCGAGAUGUGGCGUAGCCGCGUGUCGCGGGGCCUCCGGGAGGCAAAGGCCGCCGCCGCCGCCGCAUCUAGGCGCUUCUCCACCACCUCACCAUCCCCUCUUCCUCCUCCUGUGCCCCCAAAUCCAGCCCCACCGCCGGCGACUCCGCCCUCUACCCCGCUGCCGGCUCCCCCCACCAUCUGCUCCUCCCCUCCCCUCCUCUCCCCUCCCCUCCAGACCGACUCGACCUAG
rnacentral:rRNA from 1 species